rnacentral:lncRNA from 1 species
GGGCCGGCAGAAGCUUGGAUAAGCGAAUAUCUUGGACAAUAAGGAGGGAUUAAGGAAAAGCCUAUUAAACAUCAAAUUAGGUUGUGAUGUUACAAAUUAAGCACCAAAACAUCAUGUUAUACAACAAAUUUGACAGAAAAUGUAGUUCAAUAUGCAGUAAUGUUAUGUUGUAAUAACUGCAUUUACGAAUUUAGCACCAAAAUAUCACGAUGUAUUGAAAACAUUGACUACAAAAAUGGCUUGGAUUAUCCAGAGGCUUGGAUAAGUGAGACUCUACUGUAUUUUUAAUUAUUAUUAUUAUUUUAAGGAGGAAUGAAGGAAAAGCCUAUUAAAUGCCAAAUUAUGUUACGAUUUUACAAAUGAAGCACAGAAACCUCGUGUUUUAUAACAAACCAACAAACCAUUUAGUUGCAGGAGAGCAAGCCCUAUGAGGAGCGGCUGAAACAGUUGGGCAUGUUUAGCCUGCAGAAGAGAAGGCAGAGAGGAGACAUGAUAGCCAUAUACAAAUAUGUGAGAGUAUUAAUUCCUGCUUUAAUAAUUAAACCAUAUCCAUUUUAAUUCCUGUUCCUUUGUUUUUAAACAGAUUUUAUUUUAUUUAUGCUCAAUUCAAUAAAGUACCAACUACGUAUUCACAGUGUAGUAGGCUUUCCUCUGAUCUUAAGUCUAGUUGUGUCUGACUCUGUGGCUUGGGGCUCAUCUCCAUUUCUGAGCUGAAGAGCCAGCGUUGUCUGUAGACACCUCCAAGGUCAUGACUGCAUGGAGCGCUGUUGCCUUCCCGCCGGAGCAGUACCUAUUGAUCUACUCACAUUUGCAUGUUUUCGAACUGCUAGGUUGGCAGAAGCUGGGGCUAACAUUGGGAGCUCACUCCGCUCCCCGGAUUCAAACUGUCAACCUUUUGGACAGCGGGUUCAGCAGCUCAGCGGUUCAACCUGUUGCACCACUAGUCACUUCUUAAUAAAGAUGCUGUCUUGGGUGGGAGUCUCUUCUGAGCCUAGGAUUCUGUGGAUCGGUGCCUCUUGCCCAUUUGUUCUCUGUGUUUUCCUAGAUGCCGCAGAACGUGGAGAUCAAGGCCCGGGUGCGGGACCUGGCGCACCUCGUGAGCAACGCCGAGCGGCUGAGUGGGUCCGCGGGGGAACUCAUCCGGCAGACAGACACCUUCUUCCCCGCCCCAAAGGGCCGCCUGAAGCUCCGAGACUUCCGGGGGGUCCUCUCCCAGGCGCUGGGGGUGCAGGGGACCGUGCGGAAGGAGCGCCGCCUCUUCCUGGUGGGACAGACACGCCUCCAUGUCGACUGCGUGGAGGGCCUGGGGGACUUCAUGGAGCUGGAGGUGGUGCUGCGGGAGGGUCAGAGCCCCGGGGACGGAGAGGCCGAGGCCCGGCGCCUGAUGGGGGAGCUGGGUGUCCGCGAGGAGGACCUUCUGGCCGGGGCCUACAUGGACCUCCUCCUGGCCAGAGCGGGCGGCCCUCCCUGACACAGACCUCACUCUGGGCCACUCAAAGGUCGCCAGUUGUUCUAGUGACUUAAUAAAAUGGGAGAAAUACUAAAAAAGACAACAUCUUCAUUGCCAAGUGGGCUUGGCCUUGGGCAAAAGUGGUCUGACCCUUGGUUUUGUUCCUGCUUUGUCUUUGCAAGACUUGGGGUGCCUUUGCACUGGGUUAAAUGAACUCACCUUGAACUGCCAGAGCUUAGGGCCAGUUAACAUCUCCCAAACAGAGGGUGCCUCCAGGCAACAGAUCCCCUCACUGAUUGACUUUGCAGAUGUAAGGCUACUCAAUGGUAUUCAAGCUUGCUCAUUGGAACAUUUACACUUGCUUAAAACAGACAAGGGUUCAAUGCGACUGUCACCUGGGAUGGCGACAUCAAUGAUCCAAACCUUUUUCUUUUCCACAACUGUGAUGUCUGGUGUGUUGUGUUCCAGAACUUUGUCAGUCUGGAUUCGGAAGUCCCACAGUAUCUUUGCGUGCUCAUUUUCCAAUACUUUUGCAGGUUUGUGAUCCCACCAGUUCUUUGCUGUUGGAAGGUGGUACCUGAGGCAUAAGUUCCAAUGAAUCAUUUGAACCACAUAGUUGUGCCUCUGUUUGUAGUCUGUCUGUGUGAUUUUCUUACAGCAGCUGAGGAUAUGAUCAAUGGUUUCGUCGGUUUCCUUGCACAGUCUGCACUUUGGGUCAUCAGCUGAUUUUUCGAUCUUGGCCUUAAUUGCCUUUUUAUUAUUAUUAUUAUUAUUAUUAUUAUUAUUAUUAUUAUUAUUAUUAUUAUUAUUAUUAUUAUUCUACUUGACACACAAGGAUAGGAAGUCUCCUAAGAGCCUGCUGCUUUUUGCCCCUUCAUGUCCUGCUCCCUUCAGAUUGUUCUGUGUCACCACCCUUCUGCCGUAUUGAUGGGAGUCUCAUGCGCCAUUGAAUCUCAUGCACACCAAAAGAAGGGUGUGCUGGCGAAUGUCAUGUGCAGCUGCCAGAAGUGCCCUCUUUGUCAUUGGGCCAGAAAAGGGUGCCCGCCUGCUUAUCAUUCCUUCUUCGGAAACAAAAGUGUUGGAGUGUCAACGCUUCCAGGGAUGGAAAGGAAAACCUUGGGGUGCAUCUCUUUAACUGCCUUUAACUGCCUUGGUUCAAUCCUAUGGAGUCAUGAGGGAUGUAGUCUCCUGGACUUUGAUACUGUAGACCAUGGUGUCCUUCUGGGCCACCUUGCGAGGCUGGGUCUUGGGGAUAUUAUUCUACACAGGUUCCAGUCCUUCUUGGAGGGUCAUUCCCAGAAGGUGUGACUGGGGGACUCCCAGGGCACAGUACUGUCUCCCAUGUUGUUGAACAUCUACAUGAAGCCGUUGGGAGAGAUCAUUCGGAGUUUUGGAGUUCGAUGCCAUCUGUACGUAGAUGACGUCCAACUCUACUACUCCUUCUAAGGAGGCUGUUCGAGUCCUGAACCAACCGGUGCCUGGCCACUGUGACGGUCUGGAUGAGGGCGAACAAACUGAAGUUGAAUCCAGACAAGACGGAGGCCUUCCUGGUCAGUUGUAAGGCUGAACAGGGAAUAGGGUUGCAGCAUGUGCUGGAUGGGGUCACACUCCCCUUGAAGGCGCAGGUUCGCAGCUUGGGAGUCCUCCUGGUCUCAUCGCUGAGCCUGGAACCACAGGUCUUGGUGGUGGCUAGGGAAGCUUUCGCACAAUUAAAACUUGUGUGCCAGUUGUGCCCGUACUUUGGGAAGUCGGACUUGGCCACAGUGGUCCACGCUCUCGUUACAUCUAGGAUAGACUACUGCAACAUGCUCUACGUGGGGUUGUCUUUGAAGACUGUUCAAAAGCUUCAAAUAGUCCAGUGAGAGGCAGCCAGAUUGCUCACCGGAGCUACAUACAGGGACUAUACAAUCACCCCUGUUGUGCCAGCUCUAUUGGUUGCCUGUUUGCUACUGAGCACAAUUCAAAGUGCUGGCUUUGGCCUAUAAAGCCCUAAACCAGGGGUCCCCAAACUAAGGCCUGUGGGCCGGAGGCGGCCCUCCAAGGUCAUUGACCUGGCCCCUGUUCUAAACUUUAGACUUAGGGUUGACCUAAGUCUACUUGGUCUUUGGAGGUCUCUUUGCUUACCUAUGGUAUUAUGAAACUAUCUAGAUGGUCUUUGAGGUCCCUUUCCUUAUCUAUGGUCUUCUGAUGGCCUUAUGAGAUCAUCUAGAUGGCCUUUAGGGUCCCUUUCCUUACCGAUGGUCUUAUGAAACCAUCUAGAUGGUCUUUGGCGGUCUCUUUGCUUACCUAUGGUCUUAUGAAACCAUCUAGAUGGUCUUUGAGGGUCCGUUUCCUUAUCUGUGGUCUUCUGAUGGCCUGAUGAGAUCAUCUAGAUGGCCUUUGAGGGUCCCUUUCCUUACCGAUGGCCUUAUGAGAUUGUCUAGAUGGUCUUUGAAGGUCUCUUUGCUUAGCUACGGGCUUAUGAGACCAUCUAGAUGGCUUUUGGAGGUCACUUUCCUUACCUAUGGUCAUAUGAGCCCGUCUAGAUGGCCUUUGAGGGUGCCUUUGCUUACCUAUGGUUUUAUGAGAUUGUCUUGAUGACCUUUGAGGGCCCCUUUCCAUACCUGUGGUCUUAUGAAACCAUCUAGAUGGUCUUUGAGGGUCGCUUUCCUUACCGAUGGUCGUAUGAGACCAUGUAGAUGGUCUUUGGAGGUCUCUUUGCUUACCUAUGGUCUUAUGAGAUCGUCUAGAUCAGGGGUCCCCAAACUAAGGCUCUCCAAGGUCACUUACCUGGCCUCUGUCCUAAACUUUAGACUUAGGGUUGACCUAAGUCUGAAAAGACUUGAAGGCACACAACAACAACAAGCCUAUUUUUGGACUGUUUCAUAGUCCGGCCCCCCAACAGUCUGAGGGACUGUGAAUCGGCCCUCCACUUAAAAAGUGUGAGGACCCCUGCCCUAAACAGCCCUGGCCCAGUUUACCUGUCUGAACACACCUCCCUCUAUGAACCACUGCGGAGAGUAAGAUCUUCCGGGGAGGACGUGCUCUCGGUCCUGCCACUGUCACAGCCACAACUGGCAGGGACAAGAGAGAGGGCCUUCCGUCUCAGGGAUUGACCCCCAUAGGGCUAUGGCACCCCCUCCCUGGGGAGACAAGACCAGCCCCCUCCCUCCCUCCUGUCCUUCAGGAAGAUGGUCAAGACCUGGACGUGGGACCAAGCCUUUGGGGCAGGGCAAUGGCGGCAGCAAGAGGAAAUAUGGUGCGGCUGACUUGCCAUGGUUUUAAAUCACGGUUUUAAUGUGAAGAUAACUGAUUUUAGUGUUUACGUAUAGUUAUGGUUUAUUUUAGGAGUCCCCAGUGGCGCAGUGUGUUAAAGCGCUGAGCUGCUGAACUUGCAGGUUGAAAGGUCUGCAAGUCCAUCGUUCCAUCAAGCCCUUCCUUCCUUUUUUCCUUUCCUUCCCUCCCUCAAGCCCUUCCUUCCCUCCCUCCUUUCCUUCCUCCUUUCCUUCCUCCUUAUCCCUCUUCUUUCUCUCCACCUUUCCUUUUAUCCUGGCCUGCCUUCCUUCCUUCCUUCCACCCAUCCUUCUGGCCUUUCCUUCCCUCCCUCUUUCUUCCCUCACUCUCUCCUCCUUCCUUCAUUCUAUUCUUUCCUUCCUCCCAUCAAGCACUUCCUUCCUCCUUCCCUUCCUCCCUUCUUUCUCUUCCCCCUUCCCUUUCUCCUGGCCUUCCUUCCUUCCAUCCAUCUACUCGUCCUUCCUUUGCCUCCCUCCCUCUUCCUUCCCUUGCUUUCUAUUCCUUUCCUUUCUUCAAUCCAUAUUCUUCCCUAUUCUUUCCUAUUCCUUUCCUUCCUGCUCCUUCAUCUCUCCUUUCCUAUUCCUUCCUGUUCCCUUUCUAUUCCUUCCCUUGCUCCCUCCUUUAUUCCUUCAAUCCAUUCUUUUCUUCCUUCAGUCCAAGCCCUCCCUCCCUUAUUCUUCCUUCCUUCCUUCCUUCCUUCCUUUCUUUCUCUCCACCUUCCCUUCCUCCUGGCCUUCCUUCCUUCCUCCCUCCCUUCCUUCCUUCCACACGUCUUCCUGUCCUUUCUUCCUUCCCUCCCUCCCUCUUACUAUUCCCUUCCUAUUCCUUCCUUCACUCUCUCCUCCUUCCUUCCUUCAAUCCAUUCUUUCCUUCUUCCCAUCAAGCCCUUCCUUCCCUUCCUCCUUCCCUUCCUCCCUCCCUUACUCUCCGCCUUCCCAUCCUCCUUCCUACCACCCAUCCUCCUGUCCUUUUCUUCCCUCUCUUCCUCCCUCUUCACUCCUUUCCUUCCUUCCACACAUUCAUCCUGGCCUUUACUUACCCUCCAUCUUACUAUCCCUCGCUAUCUCC